rnacentral:misc_RNA from 1 species
GCUGUUUAUUAGUUGAAAAAUGACAAAUCAAGCUAGUUAGUGAAUUUCUUUCUGUCUCUGUGUCUAUUGUGAAUUUCAGAGUUACUGGCUGUUCAGUAUAUCUAAUGACUCUGAGUUGCAUUAAUUUGAGACAUGGGAAAGCUCUGGGAUUCGGAAAUUUGUAUUGAUGAAGAAUCCUUGUAAAUGUCCUGUGUAAAAAUCUCGAACAGUAUCAUAGGUGCAUUGUUGGUUUCCUUGUAUUUUCGAGUGAAAUGCGUG